rnacentral:rRNA from 1 species
AACAAACGCUGGCGGCAGGCUCAACACAUGCAAGUCGAACGCCCCGCAAGGGGAGUGGCGCACGGGUGAGUAACGCGUGGGAACCUACCUAUCGGUACGGAAUAACACAGGGAAACUUGUGCUAAUACCGUACGAGCUCUACGGAGGAAAGAUUUAUCGCCGAUAGAUGGGCCCGCGUCCGAUUAGCUAGUUGGUGAGGUAACGGCUCACCAAGGCUUCGAUCGGUAGCUGGUCUGAGAGGAUGAUCAGCCACACUGGGACUGAGACACGGCCCAGACUCCUACGGGAGGCAGCAGUGGGGAAUAUUGGACAAUGGGCGCAAGCCUGAUCCAGCCAUGCCGCGUGAGUGAUGAAGGCCUUAGGGUUGUAAAGCUCUUUCGUCGGGGAAGAUAAUGACGGUACCCGAAGAAGAAGCCUCGGCUAACUCCGUGCCAGCAGCCGCCGUAACAC